GAGCGGUGAUGAUUAAUGCGCCAUGGUGGUAGGAGGGUCCUCCACGUUUAUUUGAUUUAAGGAAGAGAAGAGUAUUGGCGUAACUGAGCUC